CUCCAAAUUCCCUAAUCUGAUUGCUCAUAUAACAUAAACUAUGUCCUUUCCGUUUCUACUUGAUAUCAUUAUACCAUUAGAAAUUCCAAGACGAAUAAAUACUUUAGUUUUUUAUUGCCGAAAGUGACGAAUGAUAAAAGCAAGACGGUUAUGGCACAUUCAGGAAAGCAAUGCAUUCCUUCAAGUCUGAAUCAUCAUAUCUAUAUCACUCUGUCUCCUGCUAUGAUAUUUAUAUCACACUUUAUAUUAUUGCCACUUGAGUUUGAAGGCGACAAUACAACUACACAAGGGCACUUGAAAACUAGUUGAGAAUAGUUAUAUAUACCGUAAUCAAAUACCAUAACAACGUAAUAUUGGUCAUAUAGGUUUAAGAUAGUUUUAAAAAAUAUUUGCAUUGAUGGAAAAUUUUGGAAAUACAAAGUUGGGACUUGGAGUUGGACUGUGAUGCAACAGUAGUUGACAACCUGCAGUUACCAAAGCGAAGAAAAAUAAUGUUAAUUCCAUUUCGUAUCUGGUGUCUAUAAUAUAUAACAACAUGAACGGGCCGUGUUGUAUCAGAUGUUAAUAUAGCUUGUAAAACAGUUGUGUUUUAACUUUUAAGAUAUUACUAAAAAUGAAGCUUUAAUGAGAAAGUCGAGGAAAAAUCUAUGCAAAUCAGGAGAAUUUUGUACAUGUGUGGGAUACACUGGAUCAUCAAACACUGAGUUUUUGAAAUUUUCUUCAUAAUUUAUUAAUGAGUUUUACAAAGGUUUCUAUUUGCUUGCCAAUAAACAGAAUUGAAAUAUUAGUUGAAUUUUCCUGUUCUUAUAAUUGUCAAGGAAAUUUCUGGUCGCAAUCUGAAAAACACUUACUAUAAAACGAACAUCUAUUGGGUGAACUUGUGAAGUGCUGACACUUGUAUAGCAGAAGAUGGAAUUAAAUAUCUCAGUCUAUAUUUAAUUCCUGCUGGAUGCACUUUAGACCUUAGACUUAGUAUAUUACACCUGGGGGAUUAUCUGAGGAAUUGAAAAUUUUAGGACUAAUUCUCAACAUUGUCUAUAUUCUCAGACGUCCUAUAUACUAUAUAACCAUAGCCAAAAUGGCCCCAAAUUGGACCUGUGAUAAUGAAAUUUAGAUAAGACCAUUGGAACCUUACAUUAAAAUUUGACACGCCUACAUGAAGGCCAGGCAAAGUGAUGCAAGCAACAAAUUGCUGUCAGUUUGUAACAAGAAAUGUUUACGAAUGUUGUCGUUGGAAAUGAUAGAUGCA